rnacentral:rRNA from 1 species
AGUGAACGCUGGCGGUAGGCCUAACACAUGCAAGUCGAACGGCAGCACAGUAAGAGCUUGCUCUUACGGGUGGUGAGUGGCGGACGGGUGAGGAAUACAUCGGAAUCUACUUUUUCGUGGGGGAUAACGUAGGGAAACUUACGCUAAUACCGCAUACGACCUACGGGUGAAAGCAGGGGAUCUUCGGACCUUGCGCGAUUGAAUGAGCCGAUGUCGGAUUAGCUAGUUGGCGGGGUAAAGGCCCACCAAGGCGACGAUCCGUAGCUGGUCUGAGAGGAUGAUCAGCCACACUGGAACUUAGACACGGUCCAGACUCCUACGGGAGGCAGCAGUGGGGAAUAUUGGACAAUGGGCGCAAGCCUGAUCCAGCCAUACCGCGUGGGUGAAGAAGGCCUUCGGGUUGUAAAGCCCUUUUGUUGGGAAAGAAAAGCAGCAGGUUAAUACCCCGCUGUUCUGACGGUACCCAAAGAAUAAGCACCGGCUAACUUCGUG